rnacentral:rRNA from 1 species
UACGGAGGGUGCAAGCGUUAUCCGGAUUCACUGGGUUUAAAGGGUGCGUAGGUGGGUUGGUAAGUCAGUGGUGAAAUCUCCGGGCUUAACUCGGAAACUGCCGUUGAUACUAUCAAUCUUGAAUGUUGUGGAGGUAAGCGGAAUAUGUCAUGUAGCGGUGAGAUGCUUAGAUAUGACAUAGAACACCGAUAGCGAAGGCAGCUUGCUACACAAUAAUUGACACUGAGGCACGAAAGCGUGGGGAUCAAACAGG